rnacentral:rRNA from 1 species
AGAGUUUGAUCCUGGCUCAGAACGAACGCUGGCGGCGUGGAUUAGGCAUGCAAGUCGAACGAGAAAGGUCUCUUCGGAGACUGAGUAGAGUGGCAAACGGGUGAGUAACGCGUGGGGAACCUGCCUUUCGGUUGGGAAUAACACUUCUAACGAGGUGCUAAUACCGAAUACGAUCGGUCUGUCGCAUGGCGGACCGAUGAAGGGCGACCUCUGAUUCAAGUUGUCGUCGAAAGAUGGUCCCGCGUCCCAUUAGCUAGUUGGUGAGGUAACGGCCCACCAAGGCUCUGAUGGGUAGCCGGCCUUAGCGGGUGUCCGGCCACACUGGGACUGAGAUACGGCCCAGACUCCUACGGGAGGCAGCAGUCGAGAGGCUUACACAAUGGGGGAAACCCUGAUGUAGCGACGCCGCGUGGGUGAUGAAGGUUUUCGGAUCGUAAAACCCUUUCAGCAGGGAAGAAUGAAUCCGGUGCUAAUACCACCGGAUUAGAGACGGUACCUGUAGAAGAAGCUCCGGCUAACUCCGUGCCAGCAGCCGCGGUAAGACGGGGGGAGCAAGCGUUGUUCGGAUUUACUGGGCGUAAAGGGCGUAUAGGCGGGCUGGCAAGUCAGGUGUGAAAUCCCCCGGCUCAACCGGGGACCUGCACUUGAUACUGCUGGUCUUGAGUACGGAAGAGGGAAGCGGAAUUCCUGGUGUAGCGGUGAAAUGCGUAGAUAUCAGGAAGAACACCAGUGGCGAAGGCGGCUUCCUGGUCCGAUACUGACGCUAAGCGCGAAAGUGUGGGGAGCAAACAGGAUUAGAUACCCUGGUAGUC